rnacentral:rRNA from 1 species
UAAGGAAUAUUGGUCAAUGGGCGCAAGCCUGAACCAGCCAUGCCGCGUGCAGGAAGACGGCCCUAUGGGUUGUAAACAGCUUUUGUCAGGGAAUAAACCCCCGCUCGUGAGCGGGGCUGAAGGUACCUGAAGAAUAAGCAUCGGCUAACUCCGUGCCAGCAGCCGCGGUAAUACGGAGGAUGCAAGCGUUAUCCGGAUUCAUUGGGUUUAAAGGGUGCGCAGGCGGAUUGGUAAGUCAGGGGUGAAAUCCCACAGCUCAACUGUGGAACUGCCUUUGAUACUGUCAGUCUAGAGUAUAGUUGAAGUUGGCGGAAUGUGUCAUGUAGCGGUGAAAUGCUUAGAUAUGACACAGAACACCGAUCGCGAAGGCAGCUAGCUAAGCUAUAACUGACGCUCAUGCACGAAAGCGUGGGGA